rnacentral:piRNA from 1 species
UAGCUGAGUAGACAGGAGCAACCGGUGU